rnacentral:rRNA from 1 species
AUUGAACGCUGGCGGAAUGCUUUACACAUGCAAGUCGAACGGCAGCACGGGGGCAGUCCUGGUGGCGAGUGGCGAACGGGUGAGUAAUACAUCGGAACGUGCCCGGUCGUGGGGGAUAACGUAGCGAAAGUUACGCUAAUACCGCAUACGAUCUGAGGAUGAAAGCGGGGGACCUUCGGGCCUCGCGCGAUCGGAGCGGCCGAUGUCAGAUUAGGUAGUUGGUGGGGUAAAGGCCUACCAAGCCGACGAUCUGUAGCUGGUCUGAGAGGACGACCAGCCACACUGGGACUGAGACACGGCCCAGACUCCUACGGGAGGCAGCAGUGGGGAAUUUUGGACAAUGGGCGCAAGCCUGAUCCAGCCAUUCCGCGUGCAGGACGAAGGCCUUCGGGUUGUAAACUGCUUUUGUACGGAACGAAAAGGCUCUGGCUAAUACCCGGGGCUCAUGACGGUACCGUAAGAAUAAGCACCGGCUAACUACGUG